UUGGCUGGUUUGAUGAUUCUGUGUCUUCUAUGAAAGAAGAAGGAAAAAAUCCUCCUUCUGAAGCAAAACCCACCAUGAAUAACACUAAAAUACUCAUUUGCAGAAUCGGAACUCACACAUCUUUUGGCUGGACUCGGCUUCUCUGACGCCUGCGUUGCCCAAGACUGGACCACGUGGGUGACAGCUUCACAGACAGUGUGUCUGUGGGUCAACAUACAGAGCGGGCUGACUUCUAAACUCAGGUGGUUGCCAAGGAGUCAGGUCCCAAGGCGGGCCAAAGCUGGACCUGGGAAAGGCUACGAGGUCUGACCAGUGAGAUUGGAGCUCCAACCUUGUCAUCGCCUGAGCAAAGGCAGAUAGGAAAAUGCCAGGAAAGCAAGUCAGACCCCAGGCACACACCCCACAUUGUGUUCUCUGGUAAGCUGCCCCAUCUCCUUGUGAUAGCCACAGCCUCCAGAUACGAUGGGAACGCAUUCUGUGGUCACCGGGCACCCUGGUUUCCAUAGCUGCACCUUCACUAGCAGGAGGACUCCAUACAAAGGGGGUCCCCACAGUCACAAAGACAAGUGAAAGGAAACCCAUGCAUUUCUUAUUGGAAGCACAAGUUGGGACUUCCUCUUCUUGCUCUUCUCUCCAUGUGCAAGGUGUUGCCCACAGGAAUGCUCCAGCGGACACAUGCCCUGAGAAAAGCCCACCUUCUAUCGAGGCCCUCGGAAAUCUGGGAUUCCUCCUCAUUCAUUCAUUGAUUCAGUAAAUAACGGAACCUCUUCCAUGCACCAGGCUCUGCUCAGCGCAAUGAGGCGCGGCACGGAAUGAGACAGAGUAAGUCCCUGCCCUCGUGAAACUUAGGUUCCACCCGCAGAGUGGCGUGUAUCUCGAUGCCGGGGAGGGGCCGUGCUCUGAACAGAGUGUUUUCCUCAGCUGGGCGCUGUGAGCAAGGCAGACACGUGGGCCCUCACAGGCCUGUCCGUACAUAUGACAUCACCGUCAUGACAGCCAAGGACAAGGGAACCCGCCAGCGGUGUUCCCAGAUGGCUUUAGUGAGCUGGGUGCAGAGUGCUAACCAUCAAAAUGGUUCAACUUCCCCGUGUGCCUGAUGUAGAAAUGCUGUGUGCUCUAAUCAGCUCCGUGCUUUCACUAUGGGACCAGUGAAGCCGAGGAAUCGGGAUUGAAAUGGCGAGAUCUGGUAUUAUGUUUAUUAUAAUGUCUCCAGGGAUGGCAGAUCAAUUUCAACUCACUGACUUCCAGCAAUUGACUGAAUCCCAGACAGCCUGUGUCAAGAAGAAAUGUGAUGCUAACUGCAGAUUUUGUGCAAGAGAGUUAGUGAGGCCUGCCUGGGGCCCAGGAGAAAGGAAGGGUGCACACAUGCAGUGUGCCCUGGCCCCAGCUCUAGACAGUCGGUCCCAACUCUGAGGCUGAACCCUCCACAGAUCUCAAAAUACUAGCAGAAUUGUGCAAACAAUUCUAUCCCUAAAACUAAUUAAAAUCUGUUUAUUAAACAAGGUGCACAUGCACCCUGCAGGGAGAGGAAGAGGUAGGAUGGUGUCAGGUGCUAAAAAUAUCCUACACACCCUCCUAAUGCUCCACAAUUUUCCAAAGGGUGGAUCCAUUGAGCUGAUUAGAGACAGGAAGGGGGGUGGGGGUGGCCAGUGUGUAUGUUCCAUUUCUAGAAUUCUAGAUGCCGGUUUCCUUGUUUGGGGGGGAAAAAGUGUUUAAAAUAGAUAAAUCAUAAGGAAAAAGGAAAGUUGUUGAAUUUAUGUUGCCAAGGUUACAACUCUCAUAGUAGUGCUUUGGUGUGGAGAUGCUCCUUGUGCCUUGUGGAGCCUGUUUGAAGUUUUUGCCAUCACCAUCAUCAUCAUCACCAUCACUGUAAUCAUCACCAUCAUCACACGACCACCAUAACCGUC